CUCCCAUCUCAUCCCGUUUGGGCUGGCAUUGCUAAAACCAGCCUCAUUCUGUUGGUGUUCAGCACUUAGUAGCUUAGCAACAAUGAGGAUAUCAAGUUGCCAGAGGUGGACAGACUGAGCAGCAGUGGGCAGAGCAGUUUAAUCUCACUGAUGCAGAAGUCACUCCUGAGAUGCACUACUCCAUUGGAAUGUAGGGAAAACUGUGGUAUAUGAUGGACCUGAAGUGAGUCACCCUUACAAGAAAAGUGGAGAAAACAUCUCAUACUGUGUUAGGAAAGGAAUGUAGUAUUCUAUACAUGGUAUGAGGUAAUUUUUAUGAAUGCUAGUAUUAUUGGAGA
rnacentral:lncRNA from 1 species